CCUGAAACAACAUACAGAACUACCACAUUUUGCUUCAGCUCACCCACCUUCACCCUCUCCUGCAGAGAGAUGAGCUGCCUCUGUCCCGGGGUCUUCAUGCCUGCAAAGGGGUCAUGGUGACUGCUCAUGUCUCUGUCUCUCACCAGCCGUACAGGUGCUGCAAGAAUGGAUCAUUUAAGCAUGGAAAUGUUGGCUGGUCGUGGAAUCGGUGCAGGUGGACGGUUGAUUAUUUCAGAGGUGGAUUGUGGCUCCACUGUGUCAUAAAUUUGAU